GCACUACUGACGAGUCUUAAACAGGACGAAACAGCUGUCCAGUGC
rnacentral:hammerhead_ribozyme from 1 species